rnacentral:lncRNA from 1 species
AUGAACAGUGCUCGUCAAACACUUUCUGCAAAGGAAAUUCUUCUUGGAGAGUUGGCUGAUACAAAGCGUCUAGCAGGAGUCUGGGAAAAGGGUAUUGCCGAAUCCUUUCCUGAACCAGAGAUAGAUGAUCGAACCAGGCAUGGCGCAUCAGAGAAUCACAACUUACUGGUAAGCAGGAUUUGGAGGUGGGCAGGUGGCUCAGUCACAGUCAAGGUCUCUAAGGAUGGAAGAACCUCUUGAUUAACUCAGGUUGCUCAGGAACAAACAUUAAGUUUAUCACAGUCAACUCUAGGAGAAACACACUAGGGUGAAAGUGAUGUCCAAGGGAGGAAAAUGAAGCCAAGAGGUGCAAGAGUCAGCCUGAGUCUGGUGACAUGAUGUCAGUCUCUGGUUUCAGGUGCCUGCAGCAUAGAUUGGACUUCUCAAAUUUUCAUGCCAAUACAUUCCCUUUCCUACUGAAGCCACUGGCUUGGUUUUUGUCAUUUGUAGUCAGAUUUUAUCAUUUG